CCCUUAGAUGUUCUGGGCUGCACGCGCGCUACACUGACGCACGCAACAGGUGCCUGCUCCGAGAGGACUGGGUAAUCAUUUGAGUGUGCGUCGUGAUGGGGAUAGAAUAUUGUAAUUAUUACUCUUCAACGAGGAAUUCCUAGUAAGCGCCAGUCAGCAGCUUGCGCUGAUUACGUCCCUGCCCUUUGUACACACCGCCCGUCGCUCCUACCGAUUGAACGGUUUAGUGAGGGCCUCGGAUUGGUCUCGGCCCGCUCUUUACCGGGCGGCGCCGUUGGUCGAGAAGACGCUCGAACUUGAUCGUUUAGAGGAAGUAAAAGUCGUAACA
rnacentral:rRNA from 1 species